UGCCUAGCAACUCCUAUCCCCACCUCCAUGUGGUACCGGCCGGAAACUAUAAGCAACCGUAGGGAAGA
rnacentral:ribozyme from 1 species